CAGUCGCCGCGGGAAUACGGAGGGGGUUAGCGUUGUUCGGAAUUACUGGGCGUAAAGCGCACGUAGGCGGUUUUGUAAGUCAGAGGUGAAAGCCCGGAGCUCAACUCCGGAACUGCCUUUGAGACUGCAUCACUUGAACGUCGGAGAGGUGAGUGGAAUUCCGAGUGUAGAGGUGAAAUUCGUAGAUAUUCGGAAGAACACCAGUGGCGAAGGCGGCUCACUGGACGACUGUUGACGCUGAGGUGCGAAAGCGUGGGGAGCAAAUGGGAUUAGAUACCCCCGUAGUCCCUGUCUCUUAUAC
rnacentral:rRNA from 1 species